rnacentral:rRNA from 1 species
UACAGAGGGUGCGAGCGUUGUUCGGAAUUAUUGGGCGUAAAGCGCUUGUAGGCGGCUUGUUAAGUUCCGUGUGAAAUCCCCAGGCUUAACCUGGGAACUGCGUCGGAUACUGGAUGGCUUGAAUCCGGGAGAGGGAUGCAGAAUUCCAGGUGUAGCGGUGAAAUGCGUAGAUAUCUGGAGGAACACCGGUGGCGAAGGCGGCAUCCUGGACCGGCAUUGACGCUGAAGCGCGAAAGCGAGGGGAGCAAACGGG